AUUGAACGCUGGCGGCAGGCCUAACACAUGCAAGUCGAGCGAGCGGCGGACGGGUGAGUAAUGUAUGGGGACUGCCCGAUAGAGGGGGAUAACUACUGGAAACGGUAGCUAAUACCGCAUCCUAUCGGAUAACCCAUAUGGGAUUAGCUGGUAGGUGAGGUAAUGGCUCACCUAGGCGACGAUCCCUAGCUGGUCUGAGAGGAUGAUCAGCCACACUGUGACGGAGACACGGCCCAUACUCCUACGGAGGCAGCAGUGGGGAAUAUUGCACAUGGGGGGCAAGCCUGAUGCAGCCAUGCGGCGUGUAUGAAGAAGGCCCUAGGGUUGUAAGGUACUUGCAGUGGGGAGGCGUUACCGACAGAGGAAGCACCGGCUAACUCCGGGCCAGCAGCCGCGGUAAUAC
rnacentral:rRNA from 1 species